rnacentral:rRNA from 1 species
UCAUAUCAAUAAGCGGAGGAAAAGCCGUCUUGAAACACGGACCAUGCAUAUCAAUAAGCGGAGGAAAAGAAACCAACAGGGAUUGCCUUAGUAACGGCGAGUGAAGCGGCAAAAGCUCAAAUUUGAAAUCGGCCACCAGGUCGAGUUGUAAUUUGUAGAUUGUAUCUUGAGAGCGGAUUAAAGUCUGUUGGAACACAGCGCCUUAGAGGGUGACAGCCCCGUAAAAUCUAUUCUCAUUGUAAGAUACUUUCGAAGAGUCGAGUUGUUUGGGAAUA